rnacentral:rRNA from 1 species
UACGAAGGGGGCUAGCGUUGCUCGGAAUCACUGGGCGUAAAGCGCACGUAGGCGGAUUGCUAAGUCAGGGGUGAAAUCCUGGAGCUCAACUCCAGAACUGCCUUUGAUACUGGCGGUCUCGAGUCCGGGAGAGGUGAGUGGAACUGCGAGUGUAGAGGUGAAAUUCGUAGAUAUUCGCAAGAACACCAGUGGCGAAGGCGGCUCACUGGCCCGAUACUGACGCUGAGGCACGAAAGCGUGGGGAGCAACAGGGAUUAAGAAACCCUUG